CGCGGGGGGCGGUGGGACAGGCGCAGCGGCGGCUCUGGCUCGGGCCCGCGGCCUCCGGGACUGCGGUCGCGGCCCGCGCAGGCCUAGGUCCCAUCAUCUCCUUUGGAACAAAGCAGUUCCAAGGAGAUAAGAGGGAAAGAACUGCAGGAAUCUCAAUCCCACCUGGAAGAAAACACUCCUGUGACUUCAGACCUCUGGCCAGAGCUUCAGAGAAGUGGAAGAACCCAAAAGGAGCAUAUUCUAGAUUUGCAAGGCCAGCAGCAAUUUUUGGUGCCCCUGCCCUAAAUAAAUCAGACUUCAGAUGUCCCAUCUGAAGCGGUCACAGCUUGGUGAGGUGGAAGGUCCAGGACCAGGUUUCAGCAGAGAGCUCUAAAUCCACACUUCUUUAUGCUUUCCCAAGACCAGCAGGAAAUGAACAGAUGCCAGGUGAGUUUAUUUUUAUUCUCAACUUUAUUUAAAAUACCUUUGUGUAAGGAUUUUAAGAGUCAGUAGAUUAG
rnacentral:lncRNA from 1 species